rnacentral:rRNA from 1 species
GGUAAAGGACUUACUCUUCGGAGUGAGAGCGUACACAGGUGCUGCAUGGCUGUCGUCAGGCUCGUGUCGUGAGAUGUUGGGUUAAGUCCCGCACGAGCGCAACCCCUGCAUUCAGUUGCCAUCGGUAAGGCCGGGCACUCUGGGAUGGACUGCCGGCGACAAGCCGGAGGAAGGUGGGGACGACGUCAAGUCAUCAUGGCCCUUAUGUCCAGGGCGACACACGUGCUACAAUAGCCGGCACAACGGGAAGCGAAGGGGCGACCCUGAGCGGAUCCCACAAAAGACCGGUCUCAGUUCGGAUUGCAGUCUGCAACUCGACUGCAUGAAGUUGGAAUCGCUAGUAAUCGUGGAUCAGCCAAGCCGCGGUGAAUACGUUCCCGGGCCUU